GAUGAAGAACGUAGCAAAAUGCGAUAAGUAAUGUGAAUUGCAGAAUUCAGUGAAUCAUCGAAUCUUAGAACGCACAUUGCGCCCGCCAGUAUUCUGGCGGGCAUGCCUGUUCGAGCGUCAUUUCAACCCUCAAGCACAGCUUGGUGUUGGGACUCGCGUUAAUUCGCGUUCCCCAAAUUGAUUGGCGGUCACGUCGAGCUUCCAUAGCGUAGUAGUAAAACCCUCGUUACUGGUAAUCGUCGCGGCCACGCCGUUAAACCCCAACUUCUGAAUGUUGACCUCGGAUCAGGUAGGAAUACCCGCUGAACUUAAGCAUAUCAAUAAGCGGAGGA
rnacentral:misc_RNA from 1 species